rnacentral:misc_RNA from 1 species
GAAAUGCGAUAAGUAAUGUGAAUUGCAGAAUUCAGUGAAUCAUCGAAUCUUUGAACGCACCUUGCGCUCCUUGGUAUUCCUUGGAGCAUGCCUGUUUGAGUAUCAUGAAAUCUUCAAAGUAAAUCUUUUGUUAACUCAAUUGGUUUCUACUUUGGUAUUGGAGGUCUUUGCAGCUUCACACCUGCUCCUCUUUGUUCAUUAGCUGGAUCUCAGUGUUAUGCUUGGUUCCACUCGGCGUGAUAAGUUAUCUAUCGCUGAGGACACUGUAAAAGGUGGCCAAGGUAAAUGCAGAUGAACCGCUUCUAAUAGUCCAUUGACUUGGACAAUACUUUUAUGAUCUGAUCUCCAAUCAGGUAGGACUACCCGCUGAACUUACGC